UACGAAGGGUGCGAGCGUUAAUCGGAAUUACUGGGCGUAAAGCGCGCGUAGGUGGUUUUGUAAGCGAAAUGUGAAAUCCCCGGGCUUAACCUGGGAACUGCAUGUCGAACUGCAAGACUAGAGUAUAGUAGAGGAGUGUGGAAUUUCCUGUGUAGCGGUGAAAUGCGUAGAUAUAGGAAGGAACAUCAGUGGCGAAGGCGGCACUCUGGACUGAUACUGACACUGAGGCGCGAAAGCGUGGGUAGCGAACAGG
rnacentral:rRNA from 1 species